CAACGAGUAUAUAACAAGCUUCCUCGGAAGUUUCGGCUAUAACGCAACUGAUUUGGACAAGGUGUACAUUGUGGGAAAUCGUCAUAUUUCUCCUUCAGGCGAUCAUCAUGGAUGUUGUACCCAGGCUGUUUGCGAAACUGUUUCUGUGCUGUUUCAUCUGUUUGUCCUUCCUAGCACCCAUAGCCUUCUCCCAGAAUGAAGAAGAAGAGGAAAUACAAGAUUCAUCAUCCAAUUCUACAUUAGUGAUCGCCCUUGGUGGGGGAGGAGGGUUUUCGGGUAUAGUUCUCUUGUGCUGUUUCUACUACUUCUGCUGCAAGAAGUAGUUUCACAAUAAACAGUGUUCCUCGAAACCAUUCGU